rnacentral:rRNA from 1 species
AUACGUAGGGUGCAAGCGUUAAUCGGAAUUACUGGGCGUAAAGCGUGCGCAGGCGGUUUUGUAAGACAGUGGUGAAAUCCCCGGGCUCAACCUGGGAACUGCCAUUGUGACUGCAAGGCUGGAGUGCGGGAGAGGGGGGUGGAAUUCCGCGUGUCGCAGUGAAAGGCGUAGAUAUGCGGAGGAACACCGAUGGCGAAGGCAAUCCCCUGGGCCUGCACUGACGCUCAUGCACGAAAGCGUGGGGAGCAAACAGGAUUAGAUACCCUGGUAGUCCACGCCCUAAACGAUGUCAACUGGUUGUUGGGGAUUUAUUUUCUCAGUAACGAAGCUAACGCGUGAAGUUGACCGCCUGGGGAGUACGGCCGCAAGGUUAAAACUCAAAUGAAUUGGCGGGG